UACAGAGGUCCCAAGCGUUGUUCGGAUUUAUUGGGCGUAAAGGGUGCGUAGGCGGCAGAGUAAGUUGGGUGUGAAAUGCCAGGGCUCAACCCUGGCCAGCACUCGAUACUGCUUUGCUAGAGCACUAGAGAGGGGGCUGGAAUUUACGGUGUAGCAGUGAAAUGCGUGGAUAUCGUAAGGAACGCCAGUGGCGAAAGCGAGCCUCUAGAUAGUAUGCUGACGCUGAGGCACGAAAGCUGGGGGAGCAAACGGG
rnacentral:rRNA from 1 species